rnacentral:rRNA from 1 species
UACGGAGGGGACUAGCGUUGUUCGGAAUUACUGGGCGUAAAGCGCGCGUAGGCGGAUUAGUCAGUCAGAGGUGAAAUCCCGGGGCUCAACCCCGGAACUGCCUUUGAUACUGCUAGUCUUGAGUUCGAGAGAGGUGAGUGGAAUUCCGAGUGUAGAGGUGAAAUUCGUAGAUAUUCGGAGGAACACCAGUGGCGAAGGCGGCUCACUGGCUCGAUACUGACGCUGAGGUGCGAAAGCGUGGGGAGCAAACAGG